GUGAGGAGUCGGGAAACGAAGAAGGCAGUCCAAAACACCAAGGAAACAACGGGAGAUCUCGAGGAGGGAAGACUCGGGAAGGCAGUUUCAGGUGUGAUGAUUGCCGGUGAUUGAUUGCAGCUGGUGGCUGCUGCAGGGCGGGGACGCGCGCGGCGCGUCCCUGGAUGUGCGCACCCGUGGGCGUGUCCCGAGGUGCGCACAGACGGAUAAGCGGCGUUGGCAGGAGCCUGAGCCGUAACAAAAGGUCUUGGAAUGCGACAAAUGCCAGAUAACUGGUACAUCUUUGGCUGCUACACAACCCUUACAAAGCAUAUUGCUUUCCACGAUAUUGCUUCCUGGAGAGAGUACCAAAGGCCAUUACUUGGGGAAGAAAAAGACCCUUAUGGAGAAGACAAAAUUAACAACCAAAGAAAACAUCUCCAUAUCACAAGAAAAACAGAUGCAGGUCUAUGAAAAGAGAGUUCUGAAGUACAAAGGUAUUGUAUACAGUGCUGGACUGGAUUUUGACAGAUUUUACUGGGCCGUGUGUUAUUCAGUCAAUAACUGGCAAGCAGGGUACACUGUCUGAUUUAAAAGGGCAACCUGAACAAAAUAAAUAC